rnacentral:ncRNA from 1 species
AUCAAUAUAGGUAAAGAAAGUUGGCAAGUUAUAGCCGUAACUUCAGGAUAAGGCACGCUGCACGCACCACAGUUGGGCGAGGUGCCUUGGUGGCCUUCUUCCUCCUGAUCCCCUUUCUCUCAGCCCCCGUUGGGGGGAGACAGGUGGGGGAUGCGGUGGGAGAUGCCGGCCACUGACAGCGACUCUGGACAUGUGUUGGGGCCUUCCUCUGCAUCACCCCAGCCUUUUCCCUGCUCCAUCCCCUCUGGACCUCUCCCGUUGCCUCCCCCCUCCAGGGAGCAGAGGGUGCGGGGCUCAGCGGGGAGGGAGGGGCAGGUUGCACAGCAUCGGCUGGCACCUAGCAGUUGGCUUAGAACUGGUGCAGACCAGGGGAAUCCGACUGUUUAAUAAAAACAAAGCAUUGAGAAGGCCCAAGGUGGGCGUUAACGCAAUGUGAUUUCUGCCCAGUGCCCAGUGUCAAAGUGAAGAAAUUCACUUUGCGGUGGCAAACAGGUGAUUCUCCUAAUGCAAUUGCACUGUGCCUACAACAACUGCAUAGCUAAAAUGGCCACUAUUGUGCAUGCGCU